GCUAUGAGGACGAACGCUGGCGGCGUGCUUUGCUGUGAACAACACAUGCGCGAUGGUGAAAUCCCUUCGGGGCGGCGCCGUAGCCUGACGGGUGAGUAUGGGCAACCUGCCCGUAGUUCAGUAGCUCAAAGUGCUUCCGAAAGGAAUACCGCAAGUAAUUCACAUCCCUGAUAUGUGUCCCUCGAAAUACUAAUUAAAGGAGCGCUUUGAGAUGGCCGAUGGUACAAUGCGCCCGAUUAGCUAGUUGGAUGGAUUAAGGUGAGGUAACGGCUAUGCGUAGGAGAGGGUGAUCGGCCACAUUGCACGGUCCAGACCCCAGUAUUGUGCGUCCUACGGGAGGCAGCGGAAUAGGCGAAAGCCUGAUGCAGCAAAUUGUGACGCCGCGUGAGUCCCCUGAUGCGACCUAAGGCCUUCGUAAAGUGUCUUUGGGCCAGUAGUACCCAAGGAGGCCGGUAGUAGAGCCACGGCUAAACGUGCCAGCAGCCGCGGUAAUACGUAGGUGGCGAGCGUUGUCCGGAUUUACUGGGCGUAAAGGAUGCGUAGGCGGAUGUUUAAGUCAGAUGUGAAAAUCCCGAGCUUAACUUGGGAACUGCAUUUGAAACUGGAUAUCUAGAGUGCGGGAGAGGAGAAUGGAAUUCCUAGUGUAGCGGUGAAAUGCGUAGAGAUUAGGAAGAACACCAGUGGCGAAGGCGAUUCUCUGGACCGUAACUGAGGCAUGAAAGCGUGGCAGGAUUAGAUACUUUUAGUGACCGUGCCUGGUAGUCCACGCCGUAAAUACUAGGCCCAUGUAAUGUAGGAGGUAUCGACCAUCUCCUUCCCAUGUGUCGCAAUAAGUAUUCCGCCUGGCCAGGACGCAAGAUUAAAACUCCGUAGUAGUUUGACGCAAAGGACGGGGGCCCGCACAAGCAGAGUGGUUUAAUUCGAAGCCGUGAUAACGUAACCUUACCUAGACUUGACAUCCCCGUGACCUGAAUAUGAGGGAAGCGGGGCAGGGAGACAGGUGGUGCAGUCGUCAGCCAAUGAUAGUAAACUCUCGUGUCGUGAGUGGUUAGUACGAGCGCAACCCAUCUUAUGCUACCAUUAACCAUUGGUGAGUUGAGCACUCUAGUGCUGCCCGUGCGGGUUAAAGGUGGGGAAAACUGAUAUCAUCAUGCCCUGAUGCCCCUUACCAUGAAUGUCUCUACACACGGCUACAAUGGUGAGUACAGAAAGACUGCAAGACCGUGAGGUGGAGCAAAACUUUUAAAACUCAUCUCAGUCGGAUUGUACCAUGUAGGCUCCCACUACAUGAAGCUGGAGUUGCUAGUAAUCGCCUGAAGCAUGUCGCGUGAAUCCCCGUAGUAACCGGGCCUGCCCGUCACGUGAUCACCAUGAGAGCUGGCCGAAGUCCGUGAUCUGAGGUAACCGUAAGGCCAUGAUCUCGUGGCCGAAGGUGGGGUUAGUAGGGGUGAAGUAGGUAGCCGUACCGUAGGAGAAGCCGGCUGGAUCGAUGA
rnacentral:rRNA from 1 species